AUGCACCAGUCAAUCUGCUUCCUUGCCCGGUCGGCGACACCGCUGCCAGGCUUGGUAUCCCAUUGUUUAGUGAACGAUUUUAGUGUCAUCUUUGUAUCCCUGAAAUUUGACCAUGUGGGUAGCUGGGCUGUUCGCCUACAAAAAGGAUCAGUUCGGAUAACACAGGCUCGUCCGAGUGGGUACCGACACAUACCCAUGCAGCUUCAUGACCCUGGCUCCAUAAACUGGAUCAGCAGCAUGGGGCACGUCUUACUCGCCAGGUCCCCCAACACGAUGGUGGCCAACGUGUUGGAUGAGGUGAAACUCAAAGAGAGAAAUAAAAGAAUGAAUAAAGAAAUAGAAAAGGUGGUCCGGGGUGGGGCCGUGUCCUACGUGGCAGAGUGCCCGGGCGCGUCCGCAAGCCCUCAUAUCCUCCCCAUAUUUGAGAUGGAUAUGAGGGCUUGCGGACAGUCCGGGCCACGUUUUUUCUUCUCUCCUGUCCGGUCACUGACGGGACGCGCCCGCGGACGUAUAAGGGAUGGUCUGAGAGUUGUAAAAUACCGGUCGCAGAUGAUUUUCCGCCUGGAAACAAGACGACCAGUUCAAGUGUGUAUCCUAAACCAACCGAAUACUGGCGAAAACGCUUAUCCAAGCGGAGCCUAUCUAGUACCUAACUCCACUAUUGCACUAGGGUUUAUAAAGGACAGCCGCUCUUUGUUGAACCCUAGCCGCCGCCUCCUCUCUCCUCCCGCGCGCGUCCUCUCCCCUCCCCUCCCACGUGCCUCCUCUCCUCCCACCCACAUCGCCGCCGCCGCCACCCACUGCCUCGAACCGCGCCGUCGGCGGCCAGAUCCGCCGCAACAGAACCCCCCUCCCAACGACGACGAGCAGCAGCGGAGGGAGGACGAGGAGCGCGACGGCGGCAGCGGCGGCGGGGAGCAGCAGCAGCAGGCCAAGGCGGCGCAGCAACAGGCCUUGGGCUUGGGCGACGUCGACGCCGCCAAGAUAAGCAGCAGAAGAGGAGAGUUCAUCCCCUCCUGGCCCGACACCGGCAGCCAUGGGGCUGCGCCUCCUCUCUGCCUCUGGACUGCUUGUAGACUCGAUGAGCUGGAGGUGUCGGAUGUGUCCACGGUGUUGGAUGUGCCUCAGGAUCUGAACGAACAACAGGCUAGGCAUACCACUCUCUUGUCCAGCGCCGUUCUUUGUUUCUAUAUUUCCUGCUACUCGAGCUGGCUCUCUCUCUCCAACGUCUUGGUUUGCAGGCCGCUACGUGGUGAGGUACUGACUAAGGAGCAUGAAUCGCCACCACCACGUACCAGAUGUUGCCAUCAAGCUGAUGCAUUGAUCAACACCGGUCUAGCGAAACUGAGCUAUAAAUAUGUGAAAAUUGAUGAUUGGCGGGCAAAAUUAAAGAGGGAUUACCAAGGAGAUACACCUGAGCAAGCAGCUAGACCCAAUGUACUAAUGAUCCACCUUGGUUCGGGCACUGAUUCAGUUCUCUGUAGUCUAAUAAAUUAUGUACUGUGGUCCUCCGCCUCACCGCUUAACGGGAUGGACCGGGAAACAAAGACAGGGGUCAAAGUGAUCUUUUUCCAAGUUUGUCGAAAAAGAUUGCAAGCUUCCAUACACAGUUAUCAAGGGCCUACUGAAAUAUUGGCCCAUCAGAAACAGCACCAAGGAGGUGAUGUGUUUGGGAGAGUUGGAAGAGAUACUAGAAGCUACACAGCCUGCGGAGUUGUUCCUCUUUUCCGCCAGUUUGCAGGUUGUCUGAAUAAUUCUCACUUUCAGAAAAUUGUUCUUGGCAUGGCUGUCAAUCGUGGCUGCUACAUUGGUCAAAGCCAGAGCCUUAAUAUCAGCAUGGGUCAAGUCAACUCCGAGAAGCUAACUUCACUGCACUUCCACGCCUGGUGCAAGGUUUGGAAAGCACAGGCCACCCCCAAAUGCAAGCUCUUCGCCUGGCUUGUCCUGCAUGGAAGAAUCCUCACGGUGAAAAACCUGGCAAUUCUGAAACUGUACUUGCAAAGGUGGGUUGGAGAGGAAAUUGUCGAUGCUCAAGCCAUCUCAAGAAGUGGAGCAAGAAGAAGUGAAUGA
rnacentral:rRNA from 1 species